UGUCUUCUAAUAUUAUUUGUCUGAGCCUCGAUACUGGUUACUGGCUUACAGUCUGUUACAGAUUGUCUUGCUUUCUCCACUGUGUUGUUUAGAACAUCCAGCAUGUGAAAUCAGAAGUGCUUUAGAUGUGGCUUCAGCACAUCAGUUGCUAACCUAUACUUAACAUAUCUACAGGGUAUAUGUUUUUUUUAGCAAGUAUAUUUCCCUGGAACCUAUGGCUGAUAAACACAGAUUUGGGAAAUGAAUAUGCUUCUUGAAACCAUUCCAUGUGAUAAUAGGAUUACUCCCCCCUCAGUGUUUGUGCUGUCUCAGAAAGCCACUUCCACUACUGCCUGUUUUGUGAAGGAUUUCUACCCCAAGGAUGUUGAAAUCUACAUGAAUUCUACUAGUAGAGAUGUUGGACCUGUAAAGGCCUCCACGGUUCUAUCGCGGCAAGGAAAAUACAGUGCUGUCCUUGUGGCCAACCUGGGAACAGAGAAUGUGCAGUGCCAGGCCAAGCACCAGGAGAGAUGGGUGACAAAUUCAAACUCAAAAGAUCUGGAUAUCCAGCUCAAAGAUGGAGACAAUUCUGAACUCAUUACCUGUCAGAGAGCUACUGAAAGGGUCAACAUGCUCUCAUUGACUGUGCUGGGAGUGAGAGUGUUGUUCUCCAAGGCUCUGUCCUUCAACCUCAUUAUGACGGCAAAGUUCUUAAACCUAUGAGGUUCUGUUGAGCCAUGGACCAAAUGAAGUUCUACCAUGAAAGAUUCGUCCAACGGCUAUCUGUUGUAUUGCGAAUGUGAUCUAAACAGCUAUCUAAUUAUCUAUCUAUCUAUCUAUCUAUCUAUCUAUCUAUCUAUCUAUCUAUCUAUCUUACAUAUCUGCAGCUGUCUUACAUAUAAUAUAUACAAUUUAUUUAGAUUUUUUUAUGAAAUAAUUUCAGUGUAUUGGCAAAUAUUAACUUGUAAUUUGUUAGUAGGUGUGAAACAGGGGUGUGUCAAGAGAGGAGUGGGCCAGUGUGCAGUCUCCAUCUGGGCCCACUUCCUUCCUCUAUAGCUGGCAGCGCGGCACUAGUAGAUUCUGGCUCUUUGCCAGAGUUUUCUAUGCAUGGUGCAGUGGCCAUUUUCCCAGUGAUUUUCCUACUGCGCCCGUGUAAAACGUUGGGAAAAUGGCCUCUGCACCAUUUCCCCGGUGAUUUUGCAGGCCUGCGGCUGCCGGCAAUUGACUCCGGAAAAGUAAGUAUGGAAGAAAUGGGUGCCGGGUGUGCAGUGUGGGCUCCCUUGGACCUAGGGGCCCAUGUGCACCACACACCCUGCACCCAUUAUAGAUAUGCCAUUGGUGUGAGAGCACAAAUCAGACAUAAUUGAACACAGUUCCGAGGGGCAAAAUUACACAGCAGUAACACAUCUCACCAAUUGUCCAUUUCUCUUUACCUGCCUUGUAAAUCUUUUUAAACUUUAUUAACAAAUUGACAAAAUAACAGUACAGUUGUCGCAAAAAGUAUGAGAAACAUUGUUCCUACAUAAUCCUAUUAAUGAUAAUUACUUUUGUAUUACCAGAAAAGCUGACAUUGUAGAGUCUAAUAUGCCAACAGAGAUACAUUUGAAUGAGUUGGUUUUACAGCAGGCUUAUAUAGGGUUAUUCCAGAAUAUAAGGGAUAAGGUGCAAAAUCUUCUUAAAGAAAGACAUGCAAUGGAUUAGCCUAUGCGCAAAUCAGAAAUGUAGGGUAAAUAAAACAUGAUAAUUAUACCUUAUUCUAUAGCUUUACUGCAUGCUUUAUAAA